UACGUAGGUGGCAAGCGUUGUCCGGAUUUACUGGGCGUAAAGAGCGCGCAGGCGGUCUUGUAAGUCGAAUGUGAAAGCCCCUGGCUCAACCAGGGAGGGUCAUUCGAUACUGCUUGACUCGAAGGCAGGAGAGGGAAGUGGAAUUCCGGGUGUAGUGGUGAAAUGCGUAGAUAUCCGGAGGAACACCAGUGGCGAAGGCGACUUUCUGGCCUGUUCUUGACGCUGAGGCGCGAAAGCUAGGGGAGCAAACGGGG
rnacentral:rRNA from 1 species